AUACGGAGGGUGCAAGCGUUAAUCGGAAUUACUGGGCGUAAAGCGUACGUAGGCGGCAAGUUAAGUUAGAUGUGAAAGCCCCGGGCUCAACCUGGGAACUGCAUUUAAAACUGGCUUGCUAGAGUUGAGUAGAGGGGAGUGGAAUUUCAGGUGUAGCGGUGAAAUGCGUAGAGAUCUGAAGGAACACCAGUGGCGAAGGCGACUCCCUGGACUCGAACUGACGCUGAGGUACGAAAGCGUGGGGAGCAAACAGGAUUAGAAACCCUAGUAGUCC
rnacentral:rRNA from 1 species